GAUUUCUGGCCUGAAACAUUGAGCCAGCCGCCGUUUGGUGUGUUAGUGCUUUUUGUUCUGGCCAUCCUUCCUAUCGCUAUUUGCCUUUCUUCAUUGAUUGGUAAGUGGUAUAGGAUCUUUUACUUUGAAAAAAUUAGAGUGUUUCAAGCAGGCUUUAUGCUAUGAAUACAUUAGCAUGGAAUAAUAAUUUAGGACUUCGGUUCUAUUUUGUUGGUUUCUAGGACUGAAGUAAUGAUUGAUAGGGACAGUUGGGGGUGCUAGUAUUCAGCGGCCAGAGGUGAAAUUCUCGGAUUCGCUGAAGACUAACUUAUGCGAAAGCAUU
rnacentral:rRNA from 1 species